AGAAUUGUGAAAGGUCUGAACAAAUGUCAUUUCUUACAGUAAAUAUAAUCUGUUCUACAUACUUACUAGAAGUCUCCUUACUGGGAAUUUCGGUUUAACAUUGCAUGGAUGUCCCAGGAAGAACUUUGAGCUUAAUAAUUUAGGAAGAACCUGUGACUAUCUCAGAAAACAUCUUUCUUCUUUUUAGUGGAAAUAGCAAAAGACUGAGUCUGUGGAAGUGUAAAUGACCUCUUUCCCCAUAGAUCAUGGAACAUGCUUGUUCUUUAGAGCAGUCAUUUUGUUUCAUGUUCAUCUCGUAAGUCAAGAAAGGGGUCAUUAUUAUUACCUGGGUCCAAAUUAAUUAUCAGAAGGUUCCUUGAUUAAUGCAAAAUUAGAGAAAGGGAGGGACCAUGGUGAGGCACUGUUCCCCAUGCACAGCACAUCUCUAGUGACUUCAGUUGCGUGGACGAGUCUCUUCAGGACACCAGCUGCAGUACAGGCCUUCCCUCUGGUCAGUGUCUUCCUUUAGAUGUGAAAGCAUAGCUGUUAAGUUAGUCAAGGCACCUCUAGUUUGAUUAUUUUAAUUCUCAGAGGAUAGCUAUCUGUCCACAGCCUCCUUGUAGUUAGAUGAAGGUGGCAGGCAGCCGUAGUGGGAAAGUUAGGCCUUGAGUGUGUUGGAGUUGAGCAGCCCUGGGUCACAUGCCCUGCCUGGGGGUUCUUGAGGCCAUGUACGUAGGGGUUAGUGAAUUUUUCAGUUCAGGCCAGGGCUCUGGUCCUCAUUGCUUAUUCUAUAAAGGAAAGUAGACCUAAAACAAAGAGGAGAAAAUUGUUACAUAACUUGGAGGAGAAUUAUGAUUUAAAUGAAACAUCUGAAAAUUAUAUGAUUGUAUUAACCAAUGUUACCCCAAUAAACUUAAUUGAAAAAUAAUUUUAAAAAUAAUUUAAAAAUAAAAUGAAACAUCUGCACAAGACUCCCUUGGAGGGUAAGAGGAGAGUGUCUUAUUUUUCUUUGUGUUUCUAAAGCACCCAAUUCAGAAUUGACCCUCAGUAAUAGAACCAAACUGUGUUUUCUCCUUAUAAAGAUGACCUCAACACACACAUACUCUAACCUAGAGACCUCCGUGGAUUAAAACCCAUUUUAUAAUAAUCUAGGCCUGAAUCCUUUGGACUGGACAUCUGUCCAGAGCCAGCUGCUAGUCCCAGACAGACCCUUUUUGGUCAUCACGUGUGCCAGGCUCCAGUGGACCAUUUGCCCUCUGGCCCACAGCGUUCUUCCCAGGACCGUGUGGAGUACCUGGUAUAUGAAAUUUGUUUCAAGAAUCUCGUUCUCUGGGCCACCACUGAUGUAAUUACUGUCACUACAGAUGCUUGUCUUUUUUAGAACUUCAUAGAAAUGGAGUCAUUCAGUAUGAACUCUUAUGUCUGCCUUCUUUUACUCAGCAUAAUGUUUUUGAGCUCCAUCUGUGUUGUUUGAUGUAUCAGUGGUUCAUUUUUAUUGCUGAGUAAUAUUUAAUUGUAUGGGUACACUACAAUGUAUAUCCAUUUACCUGAUGAUUGGCAUUUGGUAUGUUUUCAGAUUUUGGUGAUUUUUAAUAAAAGCUACUCAAAAAAAGAA